GUCACCCUGUGGAGGGAGAGCAGACACCCCCUGAGCCGCUGUGCACGGGGAUGCCUCGGAGGAGGACCAUCCUGCCCCGUCCUUCCCGCUCCGGCGCCCGAUGCGCUUCCCGGGAACAAGCUGAUGAAGGCACUGGGGCUUCUGCACCCUCCCCUCUUGGCCGGAGCAGCUUCUCCACCCACAGCGCCGAUGGCUUUAACCAGCGCAUCAGACCCACAGCGAGCUGGCCUGCGGGACUGACAUGGCUCAGGGCCCUGCACUGUCUGGGAGGGUAGAGGUUACACUGGUCACCUCUCCACUGUGACAAAUGAGCUAGGAACAGAGCCAGCUGUUCAAUAAUUACUCUCUAAGCUGCUCCAGGAAAAACAGAACGACCAGAGAAAGACAGACGGAGCGCACAGGAGUGAGAGGGAGCAAGAGGAGGGAAAACAUGAAGGUGAGUGAGACAAGUCCGCUCCAGGAAAAGACGACAAACUCAGAUCCGCCAGGAAGCACAGCGAAUGCAGAGCCGGGCCAUCUCCCUGGAGUCAGAUUCCAGGCGGACUUAUCCCACCACAUGAUGGGAUAAGCAUCGACCUAGGAACCAGGAGGUCACGGUUCCAUUCCCGGUCAGGGCACACACCCUGGCUGUGGGCUCCAUCCUCAGUGUGGGGUGAGCAGGAGGCAGCCGAUCAGUGAUUCUCUCUCAUUAUUAAUGCUUCUACCUCUCUCCCCCGCCCUUCCUCUCUGAAAUCGAUUUAAAUCUAUUUUUUGGGGUCAGACUCUUGUGCUGCAGUAUUUGAGUGACUAGUUGUGUGCGCCCCGAGAUGAGAUGGAAAAGGUCGGAAACCGCUGGGCGAGCCCGAUGCCAAGCUAAGCUCUCACCUGCACGAGGAAAGCUUCCUUGUUUCUCACCUUCAGAGGGAACGUGGAGGUGGCACUGGCAGCGGGUAGGGCGCUCACCCUGGGCACCAGACGCGGCCCCGGCGGCCACUCACCAGAUCCUGUUGUUGUUCACCAGGAGGGCCUUCAGUCUCCGCAGCAGCGGGAAGCCGUCCAGCUUCCGGAUCUCAUUGUCAGAAAAGUCGAUCGCAUCGAACUGGUCUAAGGUCGCACCCAGGUUCUCGAUGACAGGGAUCUUAUAGCCUGUGAAACGGAGAGGAAAAAAAUCCCUAAGUAUUAGUAAAACUAAAAGGUGCUAAAGCACAUUAGCAGAAUUUCCCAGUAAUUUAAUUUAAAAAGCUAGCAUUCAUUCAGAAAGUGUUUCCCCAGGCCCAGCCAGUGUGCUCGGUGGUUGGCAUCAGCCCAUGGCCCAGGAGGUCUUGGGUUGCAGGUUCGAUCCCCUGUGGGGGCGUGCAGGAGGCAGCAGACCCAUGAUGCUCUCUCAUCAUGGAUGUUCCUAUCUCUUCCCCCCGUCCCCUCCCUCUCUAAAAUCCAUGGGAAAAUAAGGAUUAAUAAGAAGAUGGGUAGAACGACCUGGCUUUGUCCGAAAGGAGUCUAGGCCAGAAGCUCAGGCAGCAGCAGCUGCGCCGAGACCCCGUGGUCCCUGUGGGAUUGGAUCCCGGGCACAGACUGGACCAGCUCAUCCCCGAGGCGGUGGCUCUUCAGGGUCUUCCUAAGUCCCUUCUGAUUUACUGGACAGACAGCUGCCUGUCCCUCCGACUGCUGUGUUGUUGUCCAUCUUCACCCUAGGACGCUUCCCCAUUGGUUCUUAGAGAGAGUGGGAGGGAGGGGAGAGGAGAGAGAGAGACAUGGAUGUGAGAGAGACACAGGAAUUGGUUGCCUCCUGCACAAGACCCGACCCGUCCCGGAUUGAACCUGCAACCCAGGAACCUGCUCUUCACCUGGAAUGAACCCCUGACACUUCAGUCCACCGGCCGACGUUCUAACCACUGCGACACCCGGCCAGGGCCAGAACACUUUGCUUUUUAUGAACUUCCGUUUGGUGGAGAAGGGGUCAUUUCCGGGCUCACUGACUACUGUGCUCACUGCCUCCGGGACAUCGCCGCCAUCUCCCAAGUAGGAAAUGGGCGGGGCGUUGAGGAUGCUCAUUGGGGUGCGGCCGUGGCCGGGAGGUGCACUCUAACCUUGGCUGGGGUUGCAGCAGCUCCGGAUCCGAAUGGUUCAGUGUCCGCACUGACAGGGGGGUCACCAGAUGACGUGUCUGCGUGAAGGGGCCCGGGGCCGCUGACGCGGCUAAGGAAGCGCGGGGAGCCGGUCCUUCACUUCCUCCCUAAUGGCCUCGUCCGCCCCCUGUGGCCAGAGCCCCCGCGGGUCUCGGGUUCGAUCCCGGCCCGGUCAGGGCAUGUGCGGGAGGCAACCAAACGAUGUGUCUCUCUCACGUGCAUGUGUUCCUCUCCCCCCCCCCCCCCCCCGCUCUCUCUAAAAAAGAAAAGUAAAAAAAAAGGACUAGCGCGCGCCCUGCCCUCCCUCUGACGCUAUCACUUUAACGUGUUUCCUGGGAACCAGCCGCUCGCUCUCGAGCAGAUCAGACUGAGAAACGGUCCCACGAGGCCGAACCGAACACAGGCCCACGGACACGGGUCGGGCAGCAAUCCGAGUCCCCGUCCCCCGAGCCGGCCGUGCACGGAGCCCACACGACAGGCCCGCGGGCCCGGCGCCAGCCCCCGGCCUCUCCCCCGACUCACCCCGCAGGUCCAGCUCGCGGUCCCGCACGGCGUUGGUGUACUGCGCCGCCUGCUCCAUCAGCUCCGCCGUCAGCUUCACCAUCCUGCCGCCUCCCUGCUCCCGCUCCGCGGCGCCGGGUCUCCCGCCAGACAGACCUCCCGGGGUGGCUCAGGCCCGUCACCAGACACACUUCCCUCUGUGACCCGCGCUGGGCAGCAAACGACCACUACACGGCCUGCCCGCGCCCGCAAACGACCACUUCCGGGCGACCCGAAAUCCUUCUGACACACUUCCGGACUAGCCCCGACUAGACGCACCUCCCGGCAUGCCUCGCGCCCCAGUCGUCACACUUACCGGCGUACCUUACGACCGACGCAAAGACGCACUUCCCAGCAUGCCCGGCGUACACGCCAGACACAUCUCCCGGCAUGCCCCGGGUCGAUGCCGACACACUUCCCGGCGUGCCCUGCGACUGACGCAAGACGCACUUCCCGGCAUGCCCCGCUCGCCGCUAGACUCGCUUCCCGGCGUGCACCGCGCCAACGUCGACACACUUCCGGUGUGCUCGCGCCCAACGCCAGGUACACAUCCCAGCGUGCCCUGCGCCCUGCAAUAGGCAGCGUUAAUUGAUUGGGACCAUUUACGCGCUCGCCGCUCGGCGCCCAGGCCCAAACAAUCGAAGAGCCAGGAUCCGGAUCUCUUGCGGUUCCGAGGUCCUGGGGCUCCCGGGCUAAUUCCCCGGUUCUGGUUGCGAUCCUGGGGCGUCUCUGGAAUCUGGAGGGGCCCCAGAUUUGUAUCCGCUGGUUAAGCAAAGUGUUAAGCACGCGAGUCUUUCAAAGGUUCCAGGAAGAGGACUGGCGAGAAAUAAAGACUCAAUGCACAGGGUGCCUCUCCCGGGAACGGGGUGCAGCGGGGUCUCUGGCCGCCUGCGAAGGGCCUUCCUGGGACAACGGGCCACAUGUGAACCCGUCAGGGGAUUGGACGGUGAAGACGCUCAGCGUGAACUUCCGGAUUCUGAUGGUUGUGCAGGAGAAGGCCCUUGUUUAUAGGAAAUCGCCUCUGAAGUAUUGGGAAGGAAAAUAGGGUGUCACAUGGGUGAUGUCAGAUCGCUCAGGGAGAGAGUUCUCUGUACCAGUAACUUUUCUGAAGUUUGCAUUGUGACGACUUAAAAAUAAGUUUAAACCUCAUGCAAUUCCAGAGAUGUCCACAAGGCGGCGCGCUCAGUCCACAAAACUAGUUUUGCUUGCCAUUCCGCUAGCUGGGUUUUAAAAAAGGUUUUGUGGGUUUUUUUUCUUAUGUUAUUGAUCUCAGAAGGGAAGAGGGUCAGAGUGAAACACCAAUUUUGAGAGAGAAUCAUAGAUCAGCUGCCUCAUGCACACCCCACACCCGAAAUGGAGCCCCCAACCGGGGCAUGUGCCUGACUGGGUUUCCAACCGCGGGACCUCCUGGUUCAUAGGUCGACACUCAACCACUGAGCCACACUGGCCGGAGUGUAUUCUGUUGUUUUAAUGGUCUCCUCUGCAAUCAAAGCUCAAAAGAACGGAGACAAAAAAGGACGUUUUCCAGGCACUCGAGACUCCGGGAGGGACUCUGAUCUCGAACCCUCACCCUCAGGCUGUGAACCUGCAGCCACGGGCAGGCUGCCCCCAGGACAGGGUCCUCCCAAAGCACUAAUUUCUCUGCCUCCUGAGGUGCCUCCUCUAGGCUUCCUGCCGCAACCCCACUGACCUGACAGGCCAUCCCCAACCGGAGCCCUGCAAGCUGGACCCAGCUGGCACUGUUUUUUUCCUUUAAAAAAAUUUUUUUUAAAUUUAUUUCAGAAAGGAAGGGAGAGGGAUAAACAUCCACGAUGAGAAUCACUGAUCAGCUGCCUCCUGCACCCCCAACCGGGAAUCCAACUAGGAAUCGGACCCUUGACCUCCCGGUUCAUAGGUCAAAGCUCAACCACUGAGCCACACCGGCCAGGCAGCACGCACGUGUAAUCGCUGUGCCCAGGAAAGAAACAGACACCUUCGCUGUGGGCUGUUAACGGUUAUUAACUUAGGGUUAACACUGCAUUUGGUCUGAGGGCGUCUUUCUUGGUGUCAUGGGUUCGAUCCACCCCUAUGGGGCCGGGGGGGACCCCCCCCCCACUGCCAUACGCGCUAACGGGUCUCUUGUGGUUCUGAGGUCCUGGGGCGCCCGGGCUACGUUCCCGAUUCUGGUUGCGUACUUGGGGGGUCUCUGGAGUCUGGAGGGGCCCUGAUUCUAGAAAUCGCCUCCCAAGUAUUUGGGAGGAAAAAAUAUUAAAAUGUUUGCGAGGUGGUAGGGUGUCACAUGGGUGAUGUCAGAUCGCUCAGGGAGAGUUCUCUGUGCCAGUAACUUGUCUGUAGUUUGCAUUGUGAUGACUUAAAAAAAAA